GAAAGGCAUACGUCUGAGUGGCGGACGGGUGAGUAACGCGUGAGCAACCUGCCUGCAAGAGGGGGACAACAGCUGGAAACGGCUGCUAAUACCGCAUAAGACCACAGCAUCGCAUGAUGAAGAGGUCAAAGGAGGAAUCCACUUGCAGAUGGGCUCGCGUCCCAUUAGGUAGUUGGUGAGGUAAGGGCUCACCAAGCCGACGAUGGGUAGCCGACCUGAGAGGGUGAUCGGCCACACUGGAACUGAGACACGGUCCAAACUCAAACGGGAGGCAACAGUGGGGAAUAUUGGGCAAUGGGGGAAACCCUGACCCAGCAACGCCGCGUGAGGGAAGAAGGCUUUCGGGUUGUAAACCUCUGUCCUUGGGGACGAAGCAAGUGACGGUACCCAAGGAGGAAGCUCCGGCUAACUACGUGCCAGCAGCCGCGGUAAUACGUAGGGAGCAAGCGUUGUCCGGAAUUACUGGGCGUAAAGGGUGCGUAGGCGGCCUGGUAAGUCAGAUGUGAAAUACCCGUGCUUAACAUGGGGGGUGCAUCUGAUACUGUCAGGCUUGAGUGCAGGAGAGGAAAGCGGAAUUCCUAGUGUAGCGGUGAAAUGCAUAGAUAUUAGGAGGAACACCAGUGGCGAAGGCGGCUUUCUGGACUGUAACUGACGCUGAGGCACGAAAGCGUGGGGAGCAAACAGGAUUAGAUACCCUGGUAGUCCACGCCGUAAACGAUGGAUACUGGGUGUAGGGGUCAAGAGGC
rnacentral:rRNA from 1 species